GCGGUGAUGGCCAAGUGGUUAAGGCAUUGGACUUGAAAUCCAAUGGGGUUUCCCUGUGCAGGUUCGAAUCCUGCUAACAGCU